CUACGGGGCGCAGCAGUGAGGAAUAUUGCACAAUGGGGGGAACCCUGAUGCAGCAACGCCGCGUGGAGGAUGACGCAUUUCGGUGUGUAAACUCCUUUUAUAUGUCAAGAAAAUGACGGUAGCAUAUGAAUAAGCACCGGCUAACUCCGUGCCUAGCAGCCGCGGUAAUACGGAGGGUGCAAGCGUUACUCGGAAUCACUGGGCGUAAAGGACGCGUAGGCGGGUUGAAAAGUCAGGUGUGAAAUCCUACAGCUUAACUGUAGAACUGCACUUGAAACUUCUAAUCUAGAGUAUGGGAGGGGGAGAUGGAAUUAGUGGUGUAGGGGUAAAAUCCGUAGAUAUCACUAGGAAUACCUAAAGCGAAGGCGAUCUCCUGGAACAUUACUGACGCUAAGGCGCGAAAGCGUGGGGAGCAAACAGGAUUAGAUACCCCCGUAGUC
rnacentral:rRNA from 1 species